rnacentral:lncRNA from 1 species
AGGGCAAUAACAAACAUGUGAUAAGGUAAUAGGAUAAGGAACAAGACAAUAGGCAUAUGGCGUAGAGCUGACUAUAGCUAUGCAAUUCUAGAGGCAUCGUGACAAGAACUGAGAACGUAACUUAAUGCAAGAAUGAGAAGGAGGCAUUGGGUAUAAUCAAGAUGUUAACGGAAUGGCUACUUGCCUGGAUUCUCGGUUGCUGGGCACCGAGAGAGGGGAUCCGAAGAAGUGUGGGAACCCGGAUCGUCGACGGAGUAAGUCGAAGUCGCUAUCGUAAAGAACCAAAUCAGACAAUACGCAAAUAAGU